UUGAACGCUGGCGGCAUGCCUUACACAUGCCAGUCGAACGGCAGCACGGGGGGUAACCCCUGGUGGCGAGUGGCGAACGGGUGAGUAAUAUAUCGGAACGUGUCCUGUAGCGGGGGAUAACCUAUCGAAAGAUGGACUAAUACCGCAUACGACCUACGGGUGAAAGCGGAGGACCGCAAGGCUUCGCACUAUAGGAGCGGCCGAUAUCGGAUUAGCUAGUUGGCGGGGUAACGGCCCACCAAGGCGACGAUCCGUAGCUGGUCUGAGAGGACGAUCAGCCACACUGGAACUGAGACACGGUCCAGACUCCUACGGGAGGCAGCAGUGGGGAAUUUUGGACAAUGGGCGCAAGCCUGAUCCAGCCAUGCCGCGUGAGUGAAGAAGGCCUUCGGGUUGUAAAGCUCUUUCGGCGGGGACGAAACGGUUCGUGCUAAUACCACGGACUACUGACGGUACCCGCAGAAGAAGCACCGGCUAACUACGUG
rnacentral:rRNA from 1 species